rnacentral:lncRNA from 1 species
GGGAGAUUUUGGAUUCUAUCUCAUUCGGCUAAAAACAGAAGCCGAAAGCAAUUGUAAAAAAGGGAUCCCCAUUCUUGUACACACGCAUAUUUCAGAAAUAAAAGAGCAAAAACAAAAGAAAAAGGUUACGUUUUUUUCAAUUUCUGAUUUCUUUUUUUCUUUUUUCAUUUUUGAUUUUGCUUUUAAGCUUCAAGAACAAGAAAUAAAAAGAAGAAGGGGAGAAAACUUACCCGAACCCCUGGGUCACACCGUCGGCGGUUCCCUCAGUCGUCGGAGCCGAACCCAAAACGGGUGGAGAUCCCUUCAUUUUCGGGUUUUCUUGGUUAAAAAAUCUUAGCCUUCAUACCUGGUUGAAUCGGGGGCUAAAAACCCACCCUUGAGCAUCGCCAGCCAC